GAUGUGACCUGGGAGGACUCGCUGCAGGUCGGCCUGGAGGGAGCCCUCCUGGGAUGUGCUUAUUAUUUAUUAUUCUGUCGGUCCUGUGGCUUGGCCGUGGGCUUCAUUCUUUAUUCUUCUGGCAGUGAGCUGGCACAUCUCCGGGACUUGUUCUGUUUCUUCAAGGACAGCAUCAUGUGGUGAGUACACAGCAUUCUUAUGAUCAGUGACUUUACAGGUUACUUCACUAAGUUACUGUACAACUGGCCCACAGCUAACAAAAGUGGUUUGACUUUUGUCUGAGCACACUGGUGUGGGAUUUUAAUAUUCUUGAUGUCUAAACUGUGUUGAUGUGAAUCCCUUUGAUUUGCCUUACACCUCUUGAGUGUCCUUGUGUAAUGUAAGACUUCAUAUUUACUUGUAUGCAAUGCUGAAAUCUCUUCAGUUCCAGAUUCAUUUAGCUAACCUAAGGUAUCAAAGUGAUUCCAUGAUAGGUUGAGGACUUGACUAUAGCAGCUGUAAAUUACUUACAGCAGGUGAUGAGAGGAUCUUGAUUCCAAAAUAAAACCAUUGUUAUGUUUUGAGUAUUUUCAUAAUUACUACUUUUGGCAGCAAAUUUGUAUCUGCUUUAAAACCAUCUUAAAUCAUCUGUCUAAAUAGUGCAACUGUAGGUUUUUAACUGUUUUUCUUGUGGUUUUUUUUUCUUUCCCCUUUUGUUUUCUAGUUACUUCUUAAAAAAUCAAAUUAUUAUAGAAGCUUCUAAGGUGAAUUUUCCAGCUGUGACCUUGAAGAAACACAUGCAGAAUAUGAAAGAAAAGCUUGUGGAGUUAAGUAGUCGUGUAGAAUUAUUGACAAGGAAGCUGGAUAAAAUAAUUAUGUAACAAAAUAAUUAUGUAACAGAAUGGCAAACCUCUUCAACAGAUCCAGAUGACCUACUAUCAGGAUAUGCAGGAGUUAAUGCCAACUAAUACCCAUUUUCAAGAACUGCUGGAGUUGUUUCUGCAUCUCUGCUGAGUUUGGUCAUUACAAAGAAAUAAUGCACCAGACCAGGUCUGAGUAUUGAUCUGUCACUUUAUCUGUGUGUGGAAAGAACUGAUGAUGAAGUGCAUCCCUUCAGGAAUACCUGAGAGUCUGACAUACUAAAGUUAUGCUUGGGAGACUGAAUAGCUCACCCAUGCAGCAUGUUACUCUCUGAGGCAGUGUAAAUCUGACUUUGUUUUUUCUAAGGACUUCAGGGGGAAACCAGCCUUUGAAAUACUGAAGUCAGGUUUCUGGAGCUGUGCAAAACAUAUUUAACAAGGUGAUGCUAUUCAACAGCCACCAUUACAAACUGAACAUUCUUAAAAACCUAAAGCUCUUGUCCUGUAUUUCAAUACAGACCCAUUGUUAAUGGCAGCUAGAUUUUGGUCAAGUGGCUCAUUAGCUACAUCUGAUGGGUGAGCCACUGCUAUAUGGACUCCUGAAGAGUUCUGAGAUUUCCUUGUAUGCGUUGCCUGCAAAAGCAGCAGACAAGCACAUCAAAGAUGCUGCAAUAUUCUUGGAGCGUAAGUCAGGAUGGCACCAUGGAGGCAGAACAUGAGGUUUUGAAUUUCAGGUAAAGGGCAACCCAUGUGCCUGCCAAGCCUGCUGAAGUGCAGCCCCAGGAACAGAACUGAGUCAAAUUUUGCCAGCUAACGCUGUGAGCAACUGCCUUGAACAGAUUUGAGGGUUUCUUUCUGGAAUGUUAACUAUGAAACCAAGGGACAGCCUUCUGCACAAUCCUGGAAGCACUGCUUUCCUGAAGUUAGGACUGCCUGUUGCCUUCAAGUGGCCAGUUAGGAUGUUUCAUAAAAAAUACCUACUCGUGGCUCAUUGGCAUCUCUCUGUUGAAAAUUGGUUCUGUUUAUUUCCUAAUAUUUAGAAAAUAAUUUUACAGAUAAGAAAGCACUACUUACCCUUUGUUACUGGGACAGAAUAUCCCUAAUUCUUGUUUUUUGGAAGAUUAAGGUCCCUUUUCCUCUCCCCUUCCCUGCCUAAAGGGCUAAUGUUUUUCCCCAAAGGAAUAAUGAAUUUUAUGGAAAGUUUAGUAGUUGUCUGUAGUAGUCUAGAGAGGAUUCUAUUUUCUUGAUCAACUUAAUUCCAGUGAUGCAAAUUGCCUUCUCCUAACAUGUUUAUGACCAGCAGGUUGCAGACCUUGCUGCUGCUGCUGCCAGUUCUGUGUUUUGUCUUAUUUGUAAAAUAACUGCUUGGAGCAAAGGGCACAAAACUCACUGUAAGGCACCUCAGAGGUUUUAGGUGGGCAACUGGCACUUAGGCUACUCCUAAUGCUCACUGUGCUGCUUUCUGUUUGGGAGUUCUUAUGGACUCAGUUCAUUGUUAUAAGCAAAACCAUGGAGUAUCAACAGUCGUUCUGCAAGGAGAGCAGGGACUCUCACAAACUCUAAUACCACCUUUGUAACACUUCCUUACUUCUUCUGUUGUUGUUGCAUGAGUCUAAGAAAUGUGAUUGAUAAUGGGACUGUUUGCUUUUGCCCUUUCAUUCUAGUUUCUGCAUUGAGAAUGGUUCUUGCUAUUUUAUGUCUGUAUUAUGAAUAAUGCUAAAUUGUUUUGCUUCAUUAGUGCUGAUCCCUAAAAGAAAACUGUCAGUUACAUUUUUGUACUAUAUUUAAAGUUGUGAAGAAGGAAACUUCUUAAAUAAAAGCUGAAACUCAGAAAUUCAUAUAGUCCGAAUCACUGCCAUUAUUAUGUGAGUCCUAGGCCUACUUCUUUUCCUUUGAUUAUUUUGCAGAAAAAACCCAUCACUUUAUCUCACUUAGGUCCUCAUUUGUUAUAAAGCAUUAAAGUAUUGGUUCCACAAAUUAUAUUACCUAUCAUGGAUUUAAAUAAAUAAUAAGUAUGUGCUGAAGAAUAGCUGAUAAAUUUUUAAACUGCAUUUCUGUAAUCUUUGAAACUAGGAAGACCUCCACCAACCAAAGAAAUUUUGUGAAGUGUAGUCACCAAAACAAUAAACAAGACAUCCAUAAAACAGUCUUCUGAGGGGCCUUGUUACUUUUAACCAAUCAAGAAAAGAAGCAGAAUUUCUGCUACCCUCUAAAAUAACCCUUGAAGGGACUGAAGUGGAAUAACAAUUUUUGUUUAGCUGCUAUUUAAGUCAGAAGUCUGCUGGGACAGCUGGCCCCAAAGCAGAUAUCCAGCAUGUAAGAAUUCAGCUCAAGUUGUUAAGUUUUGACAGAGCUACCGCAAGUACACCUCAGAAGUGAAGUGGAAUGUACAGUAAUUGGGUUGUCUUCUGAACAGAUGACACAUCCAGUUUUAGUGCAUUCUCAGCCUGUGCUGCUUUAUUGCUAAAAAAGUUUGUAUACAGGUGCAGAGUUUCCAGGUUCAUUUUUAAACAGUUCCUCUUUACAGUGUCAAAAGAAUAAAAUCUUAUCUUGAAAUCCUCAAAGAUGCAUAGAUAUAAAAGCAAGCUGCCUUUUGGAAAAAAUCAGAAUUUGCAGGGAGACAUUCUUUCACUGUUACCAUGUAAAACAUGUGCAAUGGGAGUACAUAGUUUGUAGUCACACCAAUAAUUUCCUCCACUAAUCCAUGCAAGAAUGCUAUCAAAAAUUCAAUAUAAGUAUUCUUUAGCCUAUUAAGUACUAAGGUAAUUUUUAGGAAUUUACACCUAAUACUUUUCCUUUGCUGUUAUGUUUUUCAAAAGGAAAAUAACUUCACUGAUAUCCUGAAGUAGCUUAUUCCCCAGGUUAUACUGAAGGGAAAUACAAAGGAUACAAUGGCUUACUCAUCACAAUAUUUAACAGACUUUAAAACCAUGCAUAGUGUUCUGAAGAAUUAAGAAUGACCAUGGUUAACCACUGGGCUAACUUUGUGUUAGAAAUUUUCUUGUUUCUUGAAGUUGGCUCAAAGAGUUUCAUUCAGUCUAACUUGUGAUACCAUGGAAUAGUUAUCUUCUCUUAUAAAAUUUGUAUCUUCAUUUGGCAAUCCUUACAUAUUUAAAAAGAGCAUUCAUGGGUAAAACCACAAUUCCCAUUCCAAACCCAAAACACAGUGCUUUAUGAAUGGCUGGAUAUGAAGUAUGAACAGGAGUUAACUUGACACACCUUUUUUUCCUCCAAGACACUUUCUACUUAAGAGAGAGGACUGAGCCUCUGUACAUGGAGAAGUGUUCUGCACAAGUUAAGCCCACUUACAAAAUUAAGCUAAGCUACAAGAAUGGAAUUCUGCAAUUACAAGCCAGUAUUCUACACAUUUAAUUACAAGUUUAAACUUGGAAAAGUAUUAGUGAUGUAGGCUAUGCCACACAUUCUCUUAUUUUAAAACUGCCAGCAGAGAUUGACUGCAUUAUCCACUAAGAGACUUGAAUUACAGAGAACACACUAAGAGUUUACAGGUAAAGAUGGCACCCAAAUUCCCUUUUAUCUAGUAAGCAAAAUAAAGAAAAAAAGACAAUUGCAACCUCUGUUGCAGAAGAUAAAGACCUUCAGUGAUCAAAUCUAAUUUUCUGUUUUUAAAAAUCUCUUUAAAGAACUUAAAAAAUAUACAAGAUUACCAGUAUUUUCAGGUUCAUUCCUGCAGAUGCCAUUAUUGCUGGCUGGUACCAGUAUGCUUCAGUACAGCUGCCUAUGUGGCUAGAGUUACCUGAAAAUACUGUCUCUUAAAAAGCUAUUCAACACCUGAAAAAUAUCUACUGUGCUUAUUAAUUUCAGUAUUCUCCAAAUAAUUUCUCUCACCACACUCAAGCUAUUACUUACUGCUGUCUGGCAAAUACUACACUCAAUUUGAGUCUGUGGUUUCUGUUACUCGUUUGUCGCCUUGGGUUUUGGGGUGAUUUUUUUGUGGGUUUGGCUUUUUUCCUUCCCACCAGUAGCUCCCCUGCACCGUGUAAGAAACUCUGCACCCUUUUCCUUGCUACAGCUGCAGCAGGUGAGAAACCUCAUCUCGCCUCUAAACAUGCUUAGUUCAUGCCCUGCUUUUCACAUGCUCAGGACAGUGAGAUGAACCAGACUAGAGGUUACAGAGGCGAGUUCUGCUGAUCCCAGUUCCUGAUUUACAGUUUUGGUGCCAUGCUUCUGUCCCUAUCUAUACAUUCUGCCCCCUUCUCUACAGAGGCAGCACAUUCUCUAAAAAAAA